rnacentral:rRNA from 1 species
AAGUCGUAACAAGGUUUCCGUAGGUGAACCUGCGGAAGGAUCAUUAAGAAAGUACGAGGCGCGAAAGCGUUCCUCCUCCCUUUCAAACUUUGUGAACUCACCGGUUGCUUCGGCAGCGCGGACGCUGCCCCUCUUCAGUGAGGGGAGAGCCCGAUCAGCCUGCCGGCGGCACCAUUCGAAACCAUUUUUCUGUAACUGUCGUCUGAACACAACGAAAACAAAAAUCGUUAAAACUUUCAACAACGGAUCUCUUGGUUCUCGCAUCGAUGAAGAACGCAGCGAAACGCGAUAGGUAAUGUGAAUUGCAGAAUUCAGUGAAUCAUCGAAUCUUUGAACGCACAUUGCGCCUUUUGGUAUUCCGAGAGGCAUGUCUGUUUGAGCGUCAGUACACACCUCCUUCAGGACUUUGCUGUCCUCGCGAAGGGUUGUGGGGUUUGGCCGGUCUCACCGCCGGUCUUCCCUCAAUACAGCACGCUUGCGGGCUCCCACACAGAUGUCAACGUAGUAAACUCUUCGGAAACUCGGUGAUCCAUCCGGUGGCGAGCUCUGCCUGAACCCCAAACUUUUCUAUGGUUUGACCUCAGAUCAGACAAGGAUACCCGCUGAACUUAA